rnacentral:rRNA from 1 species
AUUGAACGCUGGCGGCAGGCCUAACACAUGCAAGUCGAGCGAGCGGCGGACGGGUGAGUAAUGUAUGGGAAACUGCCCGAUAGAGGGGGAUAACUACUGGAAACGGUAGCUAAUACCGCAUACUAUCAGAUGUGCCCCGAUGGGAUUAGCUAGUAGGUGGGGUAACGGCUCACCUAGGCGACGAUCCCUAGCUGGUCUGAGAGGAUGACCAGCCACACUGGAACUGAGACACGGUCCAGACUCCUACGGGAGGCAGCAGUGGGGAAUAUUGCACAAUGGGCGCAAGCCUGAUGCAGCCAUGCCGCGUGUGUGAAGAAGGCCUUCGUGUUGUAAAGCUCUUUCAGCGGGGAGGCGUUACCGACAGAAGAAGCACCGGCUAACUCCGUGCCAGCAGCCGCGGUAAUUC